UCCCCCUCCCCUUCCCCUGGCUCGCCGCCGCCGCCCACCGGAGCACGAGGAAGAAGAAGGGGAGUCUUCAGGCGACGGCUUCGAGCUUUGUCGCGCGGGCGAUAUAUAGCCCUGGCGGCUGCCUCCCCCCGGUCACUGGCCGGUCAGCGCCGGCGCAUGCCCUUCUCCCCGCGCCGCCGCCUCCGCCGCAUCGCUCGCCGCCUCCGAGCUAUGCUCUCCUCCGCCGCGGAGCCAGACGACGAAGCCGCCGCGGGCGGCGAGCGCCGCGCGUGGGAGCCGCCCUUCGACUCCUCCGCGCCGGCGCCGCCCAUGUCCUACCCGAUCACGGACCUCGCCGCGCUCGCCUCGCGCGCCUACCUCUCCGCCGACGCCAACUUCCACCUCCCCUUCAACAGGGCCUCCGUCCCGGGUCCUAAAUCCGCGCUCCCCGCGCGCCGGUGCGUCCUCGUGUGCCACGACAUGGAGGGCGGCUACCGCGACGACGCGGCGCCGCAGGGCGGGGCCAACCCGGACGCAUACGCGCUCUGGCACUGGCACCUCGUCGACGUCUUCGUCUACUUCUCGCACUACCUCGUCACCCUCCCGCCGCCCUGCUGGACCAACGCCGCCCACCUACACGGCGUCAAGGUGUUGGGAACGUUCAUCACGGAGUGGGAUGAAGGCGCGGAGAUUUGCAAGGAGAUGCUCGCGACGGAGGCUUCCGCACAGAUGUAUGCCGAGAGGCUCACAGAGCUGGCUGCUGCCUUGGGCUUCGAUGGCUGGCUGAUAAACAUUGAGGUUAAACUUGAUGCUCAGUUCAUUGAUAACCUGAAAGAAUUUGUCAAUCAUCUAACCAAGACGAUGCAUGCUGCCGUUCCCGGAUCUUUGGUCAUAUGGUAAGAUGCCAUCACUGUAAAAGGUGAGCUCGACUGGCAGAAUAAGCUCAACAAGUAUAACAAGCCAUUCUUUGAUUUGUGUGAUGGGUUGUUUGCCAACUAUACGUGGAAGGAAAAAGACCCACAGGAUUCAGCUGCAGUUGCUGGAGACAGAAAAUAUGAUGUCUACAUGGGUAUUGAUGUCUUUGGACGAAAUACUUUUGGUCAUGACCAAUUCCAUAAUAUGAUACUCUUCAUCUAAAUAUUAGUAACAAUCUUUGCUUUUAUUCUAUUUAUUUAGAUGCUCCAUUGUUACUAAUAAUAAAUACUUGCAGCAUUAACUAAUUAGUGAUGACUUCAGUGUAUAGCUUAUAAUGUUCUUUCAGAAACCAAGUGUUGGCUUGAUGCAUGCAUAUCUUCUUAUAUAUAUUUUUUACUCGAUCACUUUUUUUGUCGGAUUUUAUUUGAAAACAUGCUUAUUUAGUUGUAAAACAGUCAUAUGACUACUAAAUAUCGUAUAUACAUCUGUUGUUUUGGAGAGAGGUCAUAUGGGUAAUUGAGUGCUAACUGAGUUAUUCUAAAAUAUUAAAGCUUGCAUUCUGGGUCUGAUUUUCUUUUUCCUUGAACGCGCAGGAGAACAUUCUAAGUCUUAUAACUUUGCUUUUAUGCAAAUGUGAAUGCAUGUUUUCAACUUUGUCACCUCCCAAAUUAUGCUUUACUGCUUAUUUUACAAUUUUGCUAGACAAAUGUUGCGCUUGAUCUACUUAAGAAAGUUGAUGUCUCAACUGCCAUAUUUGCUCCUGGAUGGGUAUAUGAAACUAAGCAACCUCCCGACUUUGAGAGUGCACAAAAUCGUUGGUGGGGUCUUGUUGAAAAAUCAUGGGGAGUUCUUCGAAGCUAUCCAAAACAAUUACCGUUCUACACAGAUUUUGAUCAGGGUCAUGGCUAUCAGGUGUCUAUCGAAGGGCAGCAAGUUUCCAGUGAUCCAUGGAACAAUAUUUCUUGCCAAAGUUUUCAGGCUGGCAUUCAUGAAGCCAUCCUGAACUUCUCUAUGAUGAUGUCCCUCCUUUUUCCAGCCUAUGCUUAAGUACACAGGAGAUCAAGCUCAACUGCAAGCCUUUAUAAAUUUCAAGGAUGGGCCGUACAGUGGAGGGAAUUGUAUGACAAUCAAAGGAAGUCUGCAGCAGAAUAUUAUUUUCUCGGAACAGCUUUUUAAUGGAAGACUUGGAAUGGAAGAUAGAUCUAUUCAUCUAUUUUAUUCGGUAAGAGCCGAUGGAAGCUCUGCGUUAGGAUUGUCUCUGGACUUGUCUUCAAACGAUCAGAGUAUUUCAAUCCUUGUUGCGGAGGACAUAGCAACAUUCACCAGAAAGAAACAAAAUCACAAGUACGGCGCAUAUGUUAAAGCUGAUAAGGCGGAGCCACAUGCUCCAGAUAACCAAGAUUGGUUCCUUUACAAAGCAACCGUUCAUUCCAGUGCUGGCUACAAAUUAACUGGAAUCAACAUUGUUUGCACCUUGAAAAUAGCUGGCAAAAUGAGUCCAGAAACAGAGGAUAGGAUCACUGGAGUGAAUGCAGAUGGAUCGUCACCGUAUCAUGCAUCACUUGGCCACAUAAGUAUUCAAAAGCUCGAUGCAAACACAGAGUUCCGACCAGCAGGAUCAUGGGUAACUAAAGGCGAGUACAUCUCAUGGUCCAACAGUUCUAUCACAACUAAACAUGUGAGUCUGAAACUCAGCUGGAAGCUGAAGACCCCUGAUCAACCAUCAUUCAGGAAGUACAACAUCUAUGUGGAGGAGUCAAUGGCAGAUCCAAACGCGAAGGCUUCCAGAAAUUACCUUGGUGUUGCUAGUGUUGAUGCCUUUUAUAUAUCGGGCCUAGAGGUCACCAGCGGAGUUUCUGGUUUUAAUUUCAUUAUUCAAGCGUGUGCACAUGAUGGAAGCUGGCAGAAGCUUGAGGAAUGCCCAGAGUUCUUUUUAGAUUUAGUUCAUUCUGAGGUGUAACAUUCUUUUUUUUUUCUCGUGUGUGUUUUGUUCAAUUAAUCCUUCAUACAAAUAUAGUCCCCCCACAGAAUAAUCUGUGUUACUCUUACAGAAAUAAGAAGAAAAGAAUUAUAGAUAAAGCAUGUUUGUGUACAAA